CAAUUUUUAUUAUAUAUAAUGAUGGUGUCAUUGUUCUGCCAAAAGAUUAUGUUAGAUCAAGUUCAUAAAAGUUUUAUCAUUUUUGACUGGAUAUGUACUUCUUUGUUAGUUUAUAUAUGUAAAAGCUUAAGUUGUUGGAAAGACCACUCGGGCUAAUAAAAAUAUCUAGCACCUUUUUUAUUAGGCAAUAUAAGACUAUGACACUAGGCUCCUUUCAACUCCACAAGUGGAAUUAUAAUGUCACAGAGAUGACAUCCUUCGGCUGCCACC
rnacentral:lncRNA from 1 species